GACACAUUUGUGCCAGGGUCAGGGCGCCAUCUGCGUAGUACGCCAUUAGUUGGCUGGCCUGCAUAAUUAGCAGGCAGUCUGACAAGGAUUCACGCCAUGCAGCAAAUCCUUUCUGGGCUGUUACAUGAUUCAAGUCUGUGGCCCAUCCUUUUACCCCACCCAACAAUGUCCUGCUUCACCAGAAGCUGCUGUUAGGUUGUAUGGAUGUGCUUGACAGG